ensembl:snRNA U6 U6 spliceosomal RNA
GUGCCUGCUUCAGCAGCACAUACACUAAAGUUGAAAUGAUACAGAGAAGAUUAGCAUGGCCCCUUAAAAAAAAGAAUCUUUUUCAUAGCUUCUUUAAAAAUUACU